GACGAACGCUGGCGGCGGGCUUAACACAUGCAAGUCGAACGGAAACGCCCUGCUUGCGUGGGGUGCUCGGGUGGCGAACGGGUGAGUAACACGUGAGUAACCUGCUCUAGACUUUGGGAUAACUUCAGGAAACUGGGGUUAAUACCGUAUCGGAGCUCCUGCUGCAUGGUGGGGGGUGGAAAUUUUCGGCGGGUGGGGAUGGACUCGCGGCUGAUGAGCUUGUUGGUGGGGUAGUGGCUUACCAAGCCAUUGACGGGUAGCCGGCCUGAGAGGGUGAACGGCGACAAUGGGACUGAGAUACGGACCAGACUCCUACAGGAGGCAGCAGUCGGGAAUAUUGCACAGUGGGAGGAAGCGUGAUGCAGCAACGCCGCGUGCGGGAUGACGGCCUGCGGGUUGUAAAAAGCUUUCGCCUGUGACGAAGCGUGAGUGACGGUAAUGGAUGAAGAAGCACCGGCUAACUACGUG
rnacentral:rRNA from 1 species